rnacentral:rRNA from 1 species
GAUGAACGCUAGCGAUAGGCCUAACACAUGCAAGUCGAGGGGCAUCACAUGAAGUAGCAAUACGGAUGGUGGCGACCGGCGCACGGGUGAGUAACACGUAUGCAACCUGCCUUCAACAAGGGGAUAACCCGUUGAAAGACGGACUAAUACCCUAUAACACAGGGGUCCCGCAUGGGAAUAUUUGUUAAAGGACAACCGGUUGAAGAUGGGCAUGCGUUCCAUUAGCUAGUUGGCGGGGUAAGGCCCACCAAGGCAACGAUGGAUAGGGGGAACUGAGAGGUUUAUCCCCCACACUGGUACUGAGACACGGACCAGACUCCUACGGGAGGCAGCAGUGAGGAAUAUUGGUCAAUGGACGCAAGUCUGAACCAGCCACGUCGCGUGAAGGAAGACGGCCCUACGGGUUGUAAACUUCUUUUGCAAGGGAAUAAAUGGGGCCACGUGUGGCCUUUUGCAAGUACCUUGCGAAUAAGGAUCGGCUAACUCCGUGCCAGCAGCCGCGGUAAGUACUGACUCA